ACUCGUACGGGAGGCAGCAGUGGGGAAUAUUGGACAAUGGGGGCAACCCUGAUCCAGCCAUGCCGCGUGAGUGAUGAAGGCCCUAGGGUGUAAAGCUCUUUUGUGCGGGAAGAUAAAGACGGUACUUCCCGAAUAAGCCCCGUCUAACUUCGAGCCGCGGUAAU
rnacentral:rRNA from 1 species